rnacentral:rRNA from 1 species
CAAGACUUGCGCUCUUGGAGCGGCCGAUGUCUGAUUAGCUAGUUGGUGAGGUAAUGGCUUACCAAGGCGACGAUCAGUAGCUGGUCUGAGAGGACGACCAGCCACACUGGGACUGAGACACGGCCCAGACUCCUACGGGAGGCAGCAGUGGGGAAUUUUGGACAAUGGGGGAAACCCUGAUCCAGCCAUGCCGCGUGAGUGAAGAAGGCCUUCGGGUUGUAAAGCUCUUUCAGCCGGAACGAAACGGUCACGGCUAAUAUCCGUGACUACUGACGGUACCGGAAGAAGAAGCACCGGCUAACUACGUGCCAGCAGCCGCGGUAAUACGUAGGGUGCGAGCGUUAAUCGGAAUUACUGGGCGUAAAGCGUGCGCAGGCGGUUUUGUAAGUCAGAUGUGAAAGCCCCGGGCUUAACCUGGGAACU